AAUAGAUACCCCGGUAGUCCACGCCCUAAACGAUGCGAACUGGAUGUUGGGUUCAACUUGGAACCCAGUAUCGAAGCUAACGCGUUAAGUUCGCCGCCUGGGGAGUACGGUCGCAAGACUGAAACUCAAAGGAAUUGACGGGGGCCCGCACAAGCGGUGGAGUAUGUGGUUUAAUUCGAUGCAACGCGAAGAACCUUACCUGGUCUUGACAUCCACGGAACUUUCCAGAGAUGGAUUGGUGCCUUCGGGAACCGUGAGACAGGUGCUGCAUGGCUGUCGUCAGCUCGUGUCGUGAGGUGUUGGGUUAAGUCCCGCAACGAGCGCAACCCUUGUCCUUAGUUGCCAGCACGUAAUGGUGGGAACUCUAAGGAGACCGCCGGUGACAAACCGGAGGAAGGUGGGGAUGACGUCAAGUCAUCAUGGCCCUUACGACCAGGGCUACACACGUACUACAAUGGUGGGGACAGAGGGCUGCAAUCCCGCGAGGGUGAGCCAAGUCCCAGAAACCCCAUCUCAGUCCGGAUCGGAGUCUGCAACUCGACU
rnacentral:rRNA from 1 species